rnacentral:rRNA from 1 species
AACGAACGCUGGCGGCAGGCUUAACACAUGCAAGUCGAACGGGCACCUUCGGGUGUCAGUGGCAGACGGGUGAGUAACGCGUGGGAACGUACCCUUCGGUUCGGAAUAACCCAGGGAAACUUGGGCUAACACCGGAUACGUCCGCAAGGAGAAAGAUUUAUCGCCGAAGGAUCGGCCCGCGUCGGAUUAGCUAGUUGGUGGGAUAAUGGCCCACCAAGGCGACGAUCCGUAGCUGGUCUGAGAGGAUGAUCAGCCACACUGGGACUGAGACACGGCCCAGACUCCUACGGGAGGCAGCAGUGGGGAAUAUUGGACAAUGGGCGAAAGCCUGAUCCAGCCAUGCCGCGUGAGUGAAGAAGGCCUUAGGGUUGUAAAGCUCUUUCAGCGGGAAGAUAAUGACGGUACCCGCAGAAGAAGUCCCGGCUAACUUCGUGCCAGCCGCCGCCGUAAC